ensembl:lncRNA
UAUCUUUCAGAUCUCAAUAGGAAAGUGGAUGGGCAAAAGGCUCAGACGAUUUUCCUGACAUCUGGUCAGUCUCUGCUACUCCGAUGCGCCAUAAAGUCUAUGGAUGCCCCUGAACUGAGAUGGCACUUCAAUAACACAGCAGUCAAGGGAAUCACAUCGUUAUAUUUUACAGACUGGACAGAAUACUUCUUUAUUGAAUCAGUGAACGUGACACAUAGUGGGGAGUAUAUCUGCGUAUCUAAAAACAAACAAACUAGGAACACCUAUGUCAGGGUCCUUGAAAAUGACAAAAUCGACAUAUUGCAGUUGAAUGAGAGCAACAGCAUACUAGCACGAAAUAAGGCAAGCUUCUGCUUCCAGGCUCUGGUGUUCUCCUACCCAAAAGCGCAGUGUCACUGGAUUACACCAAAUCAAACCAAAAUACAGUGCAGAGAGACUCAUUACCAUAAUUUUAAUAGGUAUUUACCUCAUGCUAUCCAUUUCAAUGCAAAUGAUAGAGUGUGUUGUGGUGUUUGCUUAUUUUGUUGAUUCUCUCAUUAGUACAUUUAAGCUGUGUAACCCUGAACCAGGCC